UUUUGUUGUCUUACAGUCCAACACACCUUGUAGCCCUGUGUCACACACCUGAUUAUCUUGUUUUCCUUGUUUCCAAGGCCCGUUUUAUGCUUGCAAGUGUGAGGGACCUCCCCCUUUUUUUUCUGAAGCAGAAAACUUGCCAUCCACCUAACUGUCCUUUUAGUUGCCCUGUUUUCUAGGCUUGGUUGCAUAUACAGAAGGUGGACUAUCAUCUGAGCUAUGCACAUUUAUGCCAUGAAGCUUACUUUGCUCUUGUGUUUGAUUGGUGGUUUUGAAUCAGGAUGGACAAUUCCACUGGAAAACCUUGAAAAAAUCACACAGGAUUUCUUUCCUAACAGCAGCAUGCUUUUGACAACGUACCUGAGCACCAGCUUUAUCGUAAAUGUUCCAAAGUGUGUUUCUUCCUCUAAGUUUUCUCCAUCCAAAGUAAGAAUAGCAGUAGCCAAACUUCCUGAUGCAUCUACUUUGCCAGGUGUGACAGAUACUGAUGAAAUUUUAAAUCUACGCAAAACACCAGAGGCCAAUCUUUACUUUGCUGGUGAAUUCAAGAGCGUCUCAUGUAGAGUAGCCAGGGACCUGCUGGUAAUGGACAUGGAUGACAGCCAAUAUGAGCUGAUCACAGUUAUAGGCUACCAGGUGGGAGCAGAAUUUUGCCGUCAGACCAAAGGCCCCUUCUGCAAUCAAGCCCUCAAGCCAUCUACAUUUUAUAGAGUGAAUUUCUUCUUUUUGGAUGACAAGUCUGCAAUAAGAGCUCAUACAGAUUGGUCGACCGCAAUACAGACUAGAAACGUGACAAAUCAUGAAUCAGCUGAUGUGAUGUUUGGAGGACGAGCUGGAGGAAUGAUAGUCAUCACCAUUCUGGUCUCUGUUGGUGGGGCUGUCCUAGCGAUUGCCUUAAUUGUAGCAGUGGCUCUCUCAAACAAGAAAUAAUAAUCUGGGCAAGUCAGUAUCACUUCUCUUGUGGACUGGGAGUGAUUACAGAGAUGAUUGAACAGCAAAAUCCAGAGAAUCAGAGAAUGUAUUUCAGUAACAAGCAUUUCAUCAAAGAAUAGACAUGUGGAAGGAUGAGAAACAGCAUUGAAUAAAAUUGUAUGUUUAUAAUUGAUCCCA
rnacentral:lncRNA from 1 species